rnacentral:rRNA from 1 species
AGGGUUCGAUUCUGGCUCAGAACGAACGCUGGCGGCAUGCCUAACACAUGCAAGUCGAACGAGAAGCUAUCUUCGGAUAGUGGAAAGUGGCGCACGAGUGAGUAACGCGUGGGAACCUGCCCUGAGGUUCGGAAUAACGAUUGGAAACGAUCGCUAAUACCGGAUGAGCCCUGAGGGGGAAAGAUUUAUCGCCUUGGGAGGGGCCCGCGUCCGAUUAGCUUGUUGGUGUGGUAACGGCGCACCAAGGCUUCGAUCGGUAGCUGGUCUGAGAGGAUGAUCAGCCACACUGGGACUGAGACACGGCCCAGACUCCUACGGGGGGCAGCAGUGGGGAAUAUUGGACAAUGGGGGCAACCCUGAUCCAGCAAUGCCGCGUGUGUGAAGAAGGCCUUAGGGUUGUAAAGCACUUUCAGUCGUGACGAUGAUGACGGUAACGACAGAAGAAGCCCCGGCUAACUCCGUGCCAGCCGCCGCGGUAAUAC